CGGACGGGUGAGUAACGCGUGAGGGAAGACGGCCUAUGGGUUGUAAACCUCUUUUUUCAGGGAGGAAGAUAUGACGUGUACUUGAAGAAUAAGCAUCGGCUAACUCCGUGCCAGCAGCCGCGGUAAGACGGAGGAUGCAAGUGUUAUCCGGAAUCACUGGGCGUAAAGCGUCUGUAGGUGGUUUAAUAAGUCGGCUGUUAAAUCUUGAGGCUUAACUUCAAAACUGCAGUCGAAACUAUUAGACUAGAGUAUAGUAGGGGUAAAGGGAAUUUCCAGUGGAACGGUGAAAUGCGUAGAUAUUGGAAAGAACACCGAUGGCGAAGGCACUUUACUGGGCUAUUACUGACACUCAGAGACGAAAGCUAGGGUAGCAAAAGGGAUUAGAUACCCCAGGAGUCAA
rnacentral:rRNA from 1 species